rnacentral:rRNA from 1 species
GACGAACGCUGGCGGCGUGCUUAACACAUGCAAGUCGAGCGGUAAGGCCCUUUCGGGGGUACGACGAGCGGCGAACGGGUGAGUAACACGUGGGUGACCUGCCUCUAGCUCUGGGAUAAGCCCGGGAAACUGGGUCUAAUACUGGAUAUGACUCCAUGACGCAUGUUGUGGGGUGGAAAGCCUUGUGCGGCUAGAGAUGGGCCCGCGGCCUAUCAGCUUGUUGGUGGGGUGAUGGCCUACCAAGGCGACGACGGGUAGCCGGCCUGAGAGGGCGACCGGCCACACUGGGACUGAGACACGGCCCAGACUCCUACGGGAGGCAGCAGUGGGGAAUCUUGCGCAAUGGGCGAAAGCCUGACGCAGCGACGCCGCGU